rnacentral:rRNA from 1 species
GAUGAACGCUGGCGGCGUGCUUAACACAUGCAAGUCGAACGGAAAGGCCAGUCCUUGCACUGGUACUCGAGUGGCGAACGGGUGAGUAACACGUGGGUGAUCUGCCCUUCACUUUGGGAUAAGCUUGGGAAACUGGGUCUAAUACCGGAUAGGACCACCUCGUUGAUGUUGUGGGGGAAAGGUUUUUCGGUGUGGGAUGAGCUCGCGCCCAAUCAGCUUGUGGGUGGGGUAAUGGCCUAGGAAGGCGUCGACGGGUGGCCGGCCUGGGAGAGUGUACGGAUACGUUGGGACUGAGAUACGGCACAGACACCUACGGGAGGAGGGAGGGGGGAAGAUUGCAGAGUGGGCGGAAGCCUGAUGAAGCGACGGCGCGGGAGGGAGGACGGCCGUCUGGUUGCAAACUCCUCUCGCGAAAGACGGAGUUUGACGGUAUUUGGUGAAGAAGCACCGGCUAACUACGUG